GUGGGGAAUUUUGGACAAUGGGGGCAACCCUGAUCCAGCCAUUCCGCGUGAGUGAAGAAGGCCUUCGGGUUGUAAAGCUCUUUUGUCCGGAGCGAAACGGGCGGCCCUAAUACGGUCGUCUACUGACGGUACCGGAAGAAUAAGCACCGGCUAACUACGUGCCAGCAGCCGCGGUAAUACGUAGGGUGCGAGCGUUAAUCGGAAUUACUGGGCGUAAAGCGUGCGCAGGCGGUUUUGUAAGCCAGAUGUGAAAUCCCCGGGCUCAACCUGGGAAUGGCAUUUGGGACUGCAAGGCUGGAGUGUGGCAGAGGGGACUAGAAUUCCUGGUGUAGCAGUGAAAUGCGUAGAUAUCAGGAGGAAUACCGAUGGCGAAGGCAGGUCCCUGGGUUAACACUGACGCUCAUGCACGAAAGCGUGGGGAGCAAACAGGAUUAGAUACCCCGGUAGUCC
rnacentral:rRNA from 1 species